GACGAACGCUGGCGGCGUGCCUAAUACAUGCAAGUCGAGCGGACUUUCAGAAGCUUGCUUCUGAAAGUUAGCGGCGGACGGGUGAGUAACACGUGGGCAACCUGCCUGUAAGAUGGGGAUAACUUCGGGAAACCGAAGCUAAUACCGAAUAACACCUACGCUCACAUGAGCGUAGGUUGAAAGACGGUUCCGGCUGUCACUUACAGAUGGGCACGCGGCGCAUUAGCUAGUUGGUGAGGUAACGGCUCACCAGGGCGACGAUGCGUAGCCGACAUGAGAGGGUGAUGGGACAAACUGGUGCUGAGACACGGCCCAGACUCCUACGGGAGGCAGCAGUAGGGAAUCUUACGCAAUGGACGAAAGUCUGACGGAACAACGACGCGUGAGUGAUGAAGGUUUUCGGGUCGUAAAACUCUGUUGUUAGAGAAGAACAAGUAUGAGAGUAACUGCUCGUACCUUGACGGUACCUAACCAGAAAGCCACGGCUAACUACGUGCCAGCCGCCGCAGUAACAC
rnacentral:rRNA from 1 species